GAUGAACGCUGGCGGCAUGCCUAAUACAUGCAAGUCGAACGAGAGGAAGGAAAGCUUGCUUUCCUGAAUCUAGUGGCGAACGGGUGAGUAACACGUAGGUAACCUGCCCAUGUGCCUGGGAUAACUUCUGGAAACGGAUGCUAAAACCGGAUAGGUAGCAGACAAGCAUUUGACUGCUAUUAAAGUGGCCUUGGCCAUGAACAUGGAUGGACCUGCGGUGCAUUAGCUGGUUGGUGAGGUAACGGCCCACCAAGGCGACGAUGCAUAGCCGGCCUGAGAGGGCGGACGGCCACAUUGGGACUGAGACACGGCCCAAACUCCUACGGGAGGCAGCAGUAGGGAGUUUUCGUCAAUGGGGGGAACCCUGAACGAGCAAUGCCGCGUGAGUGAGGAAGGUCUUCGGAUCGUAAAGCUCUGUUGUAAGAGAAGAACGGCACUCAUAGGGAAUGAUGAGUGAGUGAUGGUAUCUUACCAGAAAGUCACGGCUAACUACGUGCCAGCCGCCGCGGUAA
rnacentral:rRNA from 1 species